rnacentral:rRNA from 1 species
CAGUAGCCGCGGUAAAACGUAGGGUGCGAGCGUUAAUCGGAAUUACUGGGCGUAAAGCGUGCGCAGGCGGUUCGUUAAGACAGAUGUGAAAUCCCCGGGCUUAACCUGGGAACUGCAUUUGUGACUGGCGAGCUAGAGUAAGGCAGAGGGGGGUAGAAUUCCACGUGUAGCAGUGAAAUGCGUAGAGAUGUGGAGGAAUACCGAUGGCGAAGGCAGCCCCCUGGGCCAAUACUGACGCUCAUGCACGAAAGCGUGGGGAGCAAACAGGAUUAGAUACCCGCGUAGUCCCUGUCUCUUAUAC